GUAGUUAGCCGGGGCUUUCUUACAGGGUACCGUCACUUCUUCGUCCCCUGCGACAGAGGUUUACAAUCCGAAAACCUUCUUCCCUCACGCGGCGUUGCUGGGUCAGGCUUGCGCCCAUUGCCCAAUAUUCCCCACUGCUGCCUCCCGUAGGAGUCUGGACCGUGUCUCAGUUCCAGUGUGGCCGAUCAGCCUCUCAGCUCGGCUACCCAUCGUCGGCUUGGUGGGCUGUUAUCUCACCAACUACCUAAUGGGACGCGAACCCCUCUAAAAGCGAUAAAUCUUUGACCUCUUCCCGAUGCCGGGUUGUGGUCUUAUGCGGUAUUAGCAGUUGUUUCCACCUGUUAUUCCCCACUCUUAGGCAGGUUGUUCACGCGUUACUCACCCGUGCGCCACUAGAAUUAUCAAUUCCAUCCGAAAACUUCCUUAAUAAUCCCCGUUCGACUUGCAUGUGUUAGGCACGCCGCCAGCGUUCGUCCUGAGCCAGAGUACAACUAACUACGUACGUACGUAGACGGGCGGUCGGUCGAACGGACGGCGACUAG
rnacentral:rRNA from 1 species